rnacentral:rRNA from 1 species
UGGGGAAUAUUGGACAAUGGGCGCAAGCCUGAUCCAGCAAUGCCGCGUGGGUGAAGAAGGUUUUCGGAUUGUAAAGCCCUUUCGGCGGGGACGAUGAUGACGGUACCCGCAGAAGAAGCCCCGGCUAACUUCGUGCCAGCAGCCGCGGUAAUACGAAGGGGGCUAGCGUUGCUCGGAAUGACUGGGCGUAAAGGGCGCGUAGGCGGACUGCACAGUCCGAUGUGAAAUUCCUGGGCUCAACCUGGGGGCUGCAUUGGAUACGUAUGGUCUUGAGUGGGGAAGAGGGUCGUGGAAUUCCCAGUGUAGAGGUGAAAUUCGUAGAUAUUGGGAAGAACACCGGUGGCGAAGGCGGCGACCUGGUCCUUAACUGACGCUGAGGCGCGAAAGCGUGGGGAGCAAACAG